CAGGGAUGUGUAUUAAUGACACAAGAAUACUACAGACGGACCAGGAUUGGGGAAACUUAUCGUAUGUGGAACUUUCCAACAACUGUCUGGAUACAGCUGCUCAGUUUCGGUUUCUUGAUAAUAAUGCCAUGUUCAAUUUGAAAAGAAAGGGUUGUUUCGAGGGAACACGUAGGGAAAGUGGUAUUGCUUAUAAUCUUCCUAUGUUGUAUUUGCUCCUUGCUACAAAGCCUUCAGAUAAUUGUCGUGAUCGGGACCAUGCUAUAACCCAGACCUCUUGGGGAGGUUUAUCUGUAUAUGAAGUACCUAAUAAAGGGACGCGGUGUGCAGUCCCUAAAACAGCUGAUGCACUCGCAAAUGCAGGAAUAGAUCCCUACAUCAGAUUGACGACAGAUUGUAACGAUGCAGAGGAUAAACGUUUUAAUUUUGGUAAGUUUCUCUGAUACAUUUCUUUUCCGU